rnacentral:tRNA from 1 species
ACAGGACUGAAAAUCCUGGUGUCGGCGGUUCAAUCCCGUCCCUGCCCA